AUGAACGCUGGCGGCGUGCCUCAUACAUGCAAGUCGCGCGAACGGACGAGAAGCUUGCUUCUCUGAUGUUAGCGGCGGACGGGUGAGUAACACGUGGAUAACCUACCUAUAAGACUGGGAUAACUUCGGGAAACCGGAGCUAAUACCGGAUGAUAUUUUGAACCGCAUGGUUCAAAAGUGAAAGACGGUCUUGCUGUCACUUAUAGAUGGAUCCGCGCUGCAUUAGCUAGUUGGUAAGGUAACGGCUUACCAAGGCAACGAUGCAUAGCCGACCUGAGAGGGUGAUCGGCCACACUGGAACUGAGACACGGUCCAGACUCCUACGGGAGGCAGCAGUAGGGAAUCUUCCGCAAUGGGCGAAAGCCUGACGGAGCAACGCCGCGUGAGUGAUGAAGGUCUUCGGAUCGUAAAACUCUGUUAUUAGGGAAGAACAUAUGUGUAAGUAACUGUGCACAUCUUGACGGUACCUAAUCAGAAAGCCACGGCUAACUACGUG
rnacentral:rRNA from 1 species